GCAUGUGUUUGCCCGUUGCCGAACGCAAUUGCAAUUUAAAAAUAUCUGAAACUUUUCUCAAUAGAGCAGAAGAGUGUCUUUGAAGGUUUAAUUUUCGAGUGUUGGUGAAUAUCUAAGCAGUAUAGUCGACAAUUACUUAUUUAUUUUAAAGUUACUGUAGCCUACUGAAAUCAACUUCUGUAGGACACAUUUGCAAAUUUCGGGUGUGCCAGAAACAGUUUCAACAUUUAGACUACUUCAUCAAUAUCUUACUGCAUUAUGGAGUUGGAAAAGAAAAAUCCAAUUACAAUUCCUCCUACAAGACAAGUUGGUUCAUCUUCGGGCAUCUUCAAAAUAGUUUAUGAUGCUGCUAAAAGUGUUUGCACUGUUGCAAUUAUAUAUUUUUUCGGCUACAUGAAUUUCAGCCCAGCUUGGUUUCUUGCUCCGCUUAUUUAUUCUGUUAUCAAAAAUGAAACGAAAAAGACCAACGAAUUCAAGAGAAAUGUUGCCAAAACCUCAGCAUUGCAAAAUGAAAAGGAUGUAAUUCUAGCAAGAAUUGAUGAAUUACCUGCCUGGGUCUACUUCCCUGAUGUUGAAAGGGCUGAAUGGUUAAACAAGAUUCUUCGACAAGUUUGGCCAAACGUCAACCAUUAUGCAAAAGAUGUAAUCAAAGAUAUAAUUGAGCCUAACAUUUGUCUUGCACUUGCUGAGUACAAAAUAAGUGGCUUCGCAUUUCAAAAGAUGAGACUUGGUACAAUUCCGCCUCGUAUAGGAGGAAUCAAAGUAUACGACUACAAUGUGUCAAGGAAUGAAAUUAUCAUGGACUUGGAUAUUUUCUAUGCUGGAGACUGUGACAUUUCUUUCACAAUUAAAGGGUUCACAGGAGGCAUCCAAGAUUUUCAGAUCCAUGGGCUUGUCAGAAUUGUUAUGAAGCCUCUCAUUAAAUCAAUGCCACUAGUUGGCGGUCUUCAAAUUUAUUUUCUGAAUAAUCCUGCUAUUGACUUCAACCUUGUUGGAGUUGCUGAUGUUCUAGAUAUGCCUGGGCUGAGUGAUUUACUGCGCCGUGUGAUUGUUGAGCAAGUGGCAGCCAUGAUGGUUCUUCCCAACAAGCUUCCUAUCCUUCUCAGUAAUGAAGUUCCCGCAAAGAAUCUCAAAUUUCCAGAACCACAGGGAGUUUUACGUGUUCACGUUGUUGAAGCCAAACAUCUAAUGAAGAAAGACAUUGGAGUUUUAGGUAAAGGUAAAUCCGACCCUUACGCUAUCAUUACUGUGGGCGCCCAACAAUUCAAAACAAAAACAAUCGACAAUACAAUUGACCCAAAAUGGGACUUCUGGUGCGAGAAUUUGCCUGCCUCAACCUUGGGUGAAUAUGUUUCUUCUAUCUAAAUCUUCAUCAUUCAAGGCUUUAAAAGUGUCGAAAAUAGGUGCAUCUAAGGAUAUCCAUUGGAAACAGGAGACGUUGUUAUAGUUUUCUGUAAUCCAAGAAGUUGCUCGCAUUUCUAUUCUAUUCUAUUUGAUGUAAAACUCAUUUCCGAAAAAUGGAGCAAGAAUAUACAAAAAUAAAAACAAUAUAAUGUUUAUUUAAUAUUAAAUGGCGUAACAUUAAUAAAAAAUUGAAUAUCUGAGAUUUUGAAUUGCUUCUAUUUGAUUAGUAAAUUUAUGUUUCUCAAAUUGUUGUACACAAACUUAUUCCUCCCAAUCAAUUUUACCCAUUGGUUCGUAUGGGGAGUGUUUACACUUUUUGAAGCUAUACCUCAAUUAAAAAUAUCUACAAUUUUGGCUCUUCCAAUUUGAGUUCCAUCAAAUCUGUUUAAAUUGAUAGCGUUCUCCAUUCCUUGGUUAUAAUAUAGAAAAUUUUAGUCUACAUUAACAUAUCAAAGGAAAAUACAGUACUACGUAACAUUUUUCACGAUUCCGAUCAAUAAAGUUAUUCUAUAAUAUAUCCAUUCUCCCAUCCUUAUCAUUGGAAGACGUUUGCAAAGCUAAUGCCAGUGACUGAUGGUCUGUACCAAAAUAAAUAUUAGAGACCCUGAAACCAAAAACCGCCCUUUAUGAAGAUUUUUUUCCAAAUACAAAUUCAAUUUUAAGGAGCAGUUUGACUCAGUGGUCGCGCUGAUAAGCAAUAGCUUAUAUAUAAGUUAAGAAUCAUGCGCCAGGUACUCGCGCUGGAAGAGUGACCGCUUGAGCCAACUCCUCUGAAUAUGAUUCAUGAGUUGUAAAAUCGCUUGCCGGUGGUUCGGAACCCACAUAAAACUGUAGGUCCAUUCAUCUCUUAUUAUCAUCCGCCUCAUUACCUAUGCACAAGCCUAGAGCUCAUGUGGGCAUCACAAAAAAAUGAUUAGUAUGAAAUUGGUUUAUCAGAGAUUGACAAUGGUGUAACUACCGAAACCGAACUUUCUAACGGUCUUUCAAUAAAAUCUGUGGUUUUUGACAAUUUCUUAGUAUUUUUAUUUAAUAUGAAUAAUUAUACCACAAUAUCAACUUCUCAACUACACAAAAAGUGAAAAUAUACAUAUAUUAUUUGCCAUAAAAAUACAAGUAGUAGAAAAGAUGCAGUGAAGUAUAAAUAAAAGCAUGAACAUAUUAUCGCUCAUAAUAAUCUCAAUAUAACGUUAAAUAAUAUGGAAUUAUAAUGUGCAAAACUUUUCAAUAUGUCACAUGGGGAUGUUUCACAGAGACAAGUAGUGUUUUUGAACGAUAUUAGUGUCACAGAGACAAGUUUCAUAGGAGCAGGUACUUCUAUAAAAUGGCAGUCUCACAGGAACAAGUUCCCACAGAGACAAGCAGUUUUAUAGAGACAAGUCUCCGUCCAAACUAGUAGCGCUAUAAAUGGCAGUCUCACAGAAGCAAGUUCUCACACAGACAAGGUGUCUCACAGAAGCAAGUACAGUGUCGUAGAGACAAGGUGGCGAAUGUAGGAAGAAGUUAGGCGUGUUGCCUACAUCUGAACUUGAAGGCACUCCAUUAUUUUGUUCUAGU